rnacentral:rRNA from 1 species
UACGGGGGGGGCAAGCGUUGUUCGGAAUUACUGGGCGUAAAGGGCUCGUAGGCGGCCAACUAAGUCGGAUGUGAAAUCCCCAGGCUCAACUUGGGAACUGCAUCCGAUACUGGAUGGCUUGAAUUCGGGAGAGGGAUGCAGAAUUCCAGGUGUAGCGGUGAAAUGCGUAGAUAUCUGGAGGAACACCGGUGGCGAAGGCGGCAUCCUGGACCGGCAUUGACGCUGAGGCGCGAAAGCCAGGGGAGCAAACGGG